rnacentral:rRNA from 1 species
CCUACGGGGGGCAGCAGUGAGGAAUAUUGGUCAAUGGGCUUACGCCUGAACCAGCCAAGUCGCGUGAGGGAAGACUGCCCUAUGGGUUGUAAACUUCUUUUAUAUGGGAAUAAAAUGUUCCACGUGUGGGAUUUUGUAUGUACCAUAUGAAUAAGGAUCGGCUAACUCCGUGCCAGCAGCCGCGGUAAUACGGAGGAUGCGAGCGUUAUCCGGAUUUAUUGGGUUUAAAGGGUGCGCAGGCGGAAGAUCAAGUCAGCGGUAAAAUUGAGAGGCUCAACCUCUUCGAGCCGUUGAAACUGGUUUUU